GAAUUCGCCCUUAGAGUUUGAUCCUGGCUCAGGACGAACGCUGGCGGCGCGCCUAACACAUGCAAGUCGAACGAGCGAGAGAGAGCUUGCUUUCUCGAGCGAGUGGCGAACGGGUGAGUAACGCGUGAGGAACCUGCCUCAAAGAGGGGGACAACAGUUGGAAACGACUGCUAAUACCACAUAAGCCCACGGCUCGGCAUCAAGCAGAGGGAAAAGGAGCAAUCCGCUUUGAGAUGGCCUCGCGUCCGAUUAGCUAGUUGGUGAGGUAACGGCCCACCAAGGCGACGAUCGGUAGCCGGACUGAGAGGUUGAACGGCCACAUUGGGACUGAGACACGGCCCAGACUCCUACGGGAGGCAGCAGUGGGGAAUAUUGUACAAUGGGGGAAACCCUGAUGCAGCGACGCCGCGUGGAGGAAGAAGGUCUUCGGAUUGUAAACUCCUGUUGUUGGGGAAGAUAAUGACGGUACCCAACAAGGAAGUGACGGCUAACUACGUGCCAGCAGCCGCGGUAAAACGUAGGUCACAAGCGUUGUCCGGAAUUACUGGGUGUAAAGGGAGCGCAGGCGGGAAGACAAGUUGGAAGUGAAAUCUAUGGGCUCAACCCAUAAACUGCUUUCAAAACUGUUUUUCUUGAGUAGUGCAGAGGUAGGCGGAAUUCCCGGUGUAGCGGUGGAAUGCGUAGAUAUCGGGAGGAACACCAGUGGCGAAGGCGGCCUACUGGGCACCAACUGACGCUGAGGCUCGAAAGUGUGGGUAGCAAACCAGGAUUAGAUACCCUGGUAGUCCACACCGUAAACGAUGAUU
rnacentral:rRNA from 1 species